rnacentral:rRNA from 1 species
ACGCUGGCGGCGUGCCUAACACAUGCAAGUCGAACGAGGUCCAUCCUUCGGGAGAAGACCCAGUGGCGAACGGUGAGUAACACGUGAAGAACCUGCCCCGAAGACCGGGAUAACCCUCCGAAAGGAGAGCUAAUACCGGAUACCCCCACCGAACCGCAUGGUUUGGUGAGGAAAUGGAUUCCGCUUCGGGAGGGCUUCGCGGCCUAUCAGCUAGUUGGUGGGGUAACGGCCCACCAAGGGCAUCGACGGGUAGCUGGUCUGAGAGGACGAUCAGCCACACUGGGACUGAGACACGGCCCAGACUCCUACGGGAGGCAGCAGUGGGGAAUCUUGCGCAAUGGGCGAAAGCCUGACGCAGCAACGCCGCGUGGGGGAUGAAGGCUCUCGGGUUGUAAACCCCUUUCAGCAGGGACGAAUCAAGACGGUACCUGCAGAAGAAGCCCCGGCUAACUACGUG